GAUAGUGUAGCUCAGUGGUAAAGUGCUUAUCCAGCAAGUAUGAAGCCCUAAGUUCAAUCCCUAGUACCACCA
rnacentral:tRNA from 1 species